rnacentral:rRNA from 1 species
GACGAACGCUGGCGGCGUGCUUAACACAUGCAAGUCGAACGAGACGAUUGGAAGCUUGCUUUUAAAAGUCGAGUGGCAAACGGGUGAGUAACGCGUAGACAACCUGCCUUUGAGAUGGGGACAACAGUUCGAAAGGACUGCUAAUACCGAAUGUUGUAUAUUUUCCACAUGGAAGAUAUAUUAAAGAUGGCCUCUAUUUAUAAGCUAUCGCUCAAAGAUGGGUCUGCGUCUGAUUAGCCGGUUGGUGGGGUAACGGCCUACCAAGGCGACGAUCAAUAGCCGGUCUGAGAGGAUGAACGGCCACAUUGGGACUGAGACAUGGCCCAGACUCCUACGGGAGGCAGCAGUGGGGAAUCUUCCACAAUGGACGAAAGUCUGAUGGAGCAACGCCGCGUGAGUGAAGAAGGGUUUCGGCUCGUAAAGCUCUGUUGUCGGGGACGAAUGUGCAGUAUUUGAAUAAAGUACUGUAAUGACGGUACCUGACGAGGAAGCCACGGCUAACUACGUGCCAGCCGCCGCAGUAA